AUGGCGGCCAAGGCGCCGGCCCCUUCCGCGCGCUCCCGGGCCCUCGCCUCCGCCUCCGCGCCCGCGCCGGCCUCCUCCAGGCGCCCCAAUGCCACUCCCGCAGCAGACACCGCCGCGCCAUCCACCUCCGCCACCACCUCCCCACCGCCAUCCUCCCCGCCGUCCGCCCCGCCUCCAAAGCUCGCCGCCUCCCCACCGCCCGCCUCGCCGCCACCGACGCCGCCCGCCGCACUCCCCACUCCAAAGCCCGCGCCUUCCACUUCCACGCCGCCUCCAACCACCACAAGCCCACCUGCUCCGCCCCCCAAGCGCUCCCCCGCCGCAGCACCGCCGCCGACGGCUCCUGCGCCAAGACCCACGCCGCCCGCUCCAGCUCCAAGAACCGCGCCGACCUCCCAGUCCCCGGCGGCCUCGCCCCCCGCCCACGCCGCGCCGCACGCCAAGCCAUCGCCGCCUCCCGCGGCCGGCCACCACCCGCAGCUGCCGACGCCGGCCACCGCCGUCGACCCGGCCAACCAGCACGGCAGGAGCCCCAACAAGUCCUCCACGCAGUCCGCCGGCGAGCGGGGCCGCAAGGCCUCCCCCUCGCCGGGCAGCAGCAACGGGGGGGCCAGCAACGGCGUCGUCAUCGCCGUCGGCGCCGUGCUCGCCUUCCUCGUGGUCACCCUCAUAGCCGCCGCCGUUCUCUACACCAAGAAGCGCCGGAGGGGGCGGGACGACUACCGCGCCGGCUUCCGGUCGCCGCCUUACUCUUCAGAGCUACCACCGUCAGUUCCUUCGGGCGGCGGCUCGGCGAACGCGGCAAUGUCGUCGUCGGCCGACCCCUCCGUCCACACCAACUACAGCGCCGGCAGCCCGAGGCUGAAAGCGUGCGUGUCCGACAUGAGCGUCGGCAACUCGCGCUUCUUCACUUACCAGGAAAUGUACCAGAUCACCGACGGUUUCUCGCCGCGCAAUUUGCUCGGCGAGGGAGGGUUCGGGUCUGUGUACAAGGGCCGGCUGCCCGAAGGGAAAGACGUGGCUGUCAAGCAGCUGAGGGACGGCAGCGGGCAAGGCGAACGCGAGUUCCAGGCUGAGGUGGAGAUCAUUAGCCGCGUGCAUCACCGGCAUUUGGUGUCUCUCGUGGGGUACUGCAUUGCCAAUAGCCAGAGGCUGCUCGUCUACGAUUUCGUGUCCAAUGACACCCUGCAUUAUCACCUUCACGGACAGGGAAGGCCUGUUUUAGAGUGGUCGGCUAGGGUUAAAAUCGCCGCCGGCGCUGCUCGUGGAAUAGCAUACCUACACGAAGAUUGCCAUCCAAGGAUAAUCCACCGAGACAUAAAAUCCUCAAACAUUUUAUUGGAUAAUAACUUUGACGCACUGGUGGCUGAUUUUGGUCUUGCAAGAUUGGCUCUGGAUGCUGUAACACAUGUAACUACCCGUGUUAUGGGGACAUUUGGAUACAUGGCUCCAGAGUAUGCAUCGAGUGGCAAACUGACUGAGAAAUCUGAUGUGUUCUCUUUUGGUGUUGUACUCUUAGAGCUUAUGACUGGUCGAAAGCCUGUUGAUUCAUCCAGACCAUUGGGUGAUGAGAGCCUUGUUGAGUGGGCUAGACCAUUGCUUAGUCGAGCUCUUGAGACAGGAAAGCUGGAAGGGUUAGUCGACCCCAGGCUUGAGAAGAAUUUCAAUGAGGUAGAAAUGUUCCGUAUGAUUGAAUCUGCAGCAGCCUGCAUUCGACACUCGUCAUCAAAGAGGCCCAGAAUGAGCCAGGUGGUGCGGGUCCUCGAUAGCUUAGCGGAUAUUGACCUAACGAACGGUGUCCAGCCAGGGCAAAGCGAGCUCUUCAACGUGGCAAACACGGCGGAUAUCAGGAUGUUCCAGCAGAUGGUGCAGGGCAAUCAGGAUGACAGUUCUGCCUUCAGCCAAUAUAGUUGGAUCAGUCGCAGUAGGGCCGACGCCGAGGCAACCUCCUCAAACUCCAGGAUCUUGUGA
rnacentral:rRNA from 1 species